GGUGUGUCCUUGCGCCGAUCGGGAAGGCUUACAGGAUGGGGAAACGCGAAAACGAGAGAGAGAGCCGGAAAGAGCGCUCAUCGCGACGGCGAAGGACGCCGUCCUCGUACGAAGAGGACGAUUCUUCCGAAACGGCUUCGGAGUCCCCUCCGAGAAGGCGGCGGCGGGGCCACAGCAGCGACCACGAGAGUAGCAGGCGGCGGCGGAGCCAACGCGGCCGCCAGAGCUCCUCCAGCGACACCAUCGGCUCGUCAGAGUCCGAAUCCGAUGACCUCCAUGGAAGGCGCCGGAAGAGGUCGUCUAGAGAGAUCACCGAGGAGGAGAUCCUGGAGUAUAUGGCCAAGAAAGCCCAGAAGAAGGCAUUGAAGGUGGCCAAGAAGCUGAAAUCGAAUGCUGUUUCUGGUUAUUCUAACGAUUCUAAUCCUUUCGGCGACUCCAACCUUACGGAGAAGUUUGUAUGGCGAAAGAAGAUAGAGCGUGAUGUUGCUCAAGGCCAACCUUUGGACAUAUCUGUCAAAGCUGAAAAGAAGAGGCAAAGGGAAAGGAUGGCAGAAAUUGAAAAGGUUAAGAAAAGGAGAGAGGAAAGGGCAAUCGAAAAGGCACAACACGAGGAGGAGAUGGCAAUGCUAGCCAGGGAACGAGCUCGGGCAGAGUUUCAGGACUGGGAGAAGAAAGAGGAAGAGUUCCAUUUUGACCAAAGCAAGAUCAGAUCUGAGAUUAGAUUGCGUGAAGGGCGCAUAAAACCUAUCGAUAUACUUUCCAAGAACCUCAAUGGUUCAGAAGAUUUUGAUAUUGAAAUAAAUGAACCUUACAUGGUAUUCAAGGGUUUAACGGUGAAGGAAAUGGAAGAGCUUCAUGAUGACAUCAAAAUGCAUCUGGAUAUGGAUACACCAACUCAGACACAUACUGAGUAUUGGGAGGCACUAAUGGUAAUCUGUGACUGGGAGCUUGGUGAGGCUCGGAAAAGAGAUGCGCUAGAUCGAGCUAGGGUACGUGGUGAGGAGCCACCUGCCGACGUCCUUGCAGAAGAAAGGGGUCUCCAUUUGAGCAUUGAGACAGAUGUAAAGGAUCUCUUAGAAGGGAAAACAUUCAAUGAGUUGGAGUCCAUGCAACGUCAGAUCGAGUCACAGAUGCGCUCAGGCACAGCCAAGGUUGUUGAGUAUUGGGAAGCUGUUUUGAAGCGCCUUCAGAUAUAUAAGGCAAAGGCAUGUUUAAAGGAAAUCCAUGCUUCUCUGUUGAGAAAGCAUCUAGAACGUUUAGAGCAACCUGUGGAGGCUGAACAGGGCUUGGAAACAGAUAACGAAAUUAAGUUUAAAGAGGAAGACAUGGUGCUUGAUGCAGCGGAAGCAAAGUCCUAUUCUCCUGAACCUGCAGUUGAUGAACCAAGAGAUGAGCCAGAAGAAGAGGCAGGUUCCUUUUCACCUGAGCUCUUGCAUGGUGAUGAAGAUGAAGAGGCAAUUGAUCCUGAAGAGGAUAGAGCUGAGCUGGAUCGGAAACGUGAGGCGGUAGUAGUAGAGCAACAGAGAAGGAUUCAGGAAGCAAUGGCAGCAAAGACAAGCACACCCGAUGAUAUGGAGCUGAAAGCAAUGAAAGCAAUGGGAGCUAUGGAGGAAGGUGAUGCAGUUUUUGGUGCUGGUGCUGAAGUAAAUCUGGAUUCACAGGUAGCAAAUUCUCUCUCUCUCUCUCUCCCGGCGCGUCUCAGAGGUGUACUGGUGGCAUGAUAAAUACCGUCCGAGAAAGCCCAAGUAUUUCAAUAGGGUUCACACUGGAUAUGAGUGGAACAAGUAUAACCAAACACAUUAUGAUCAUGACAAUCCCCCUCCUAAAAUUGUACAGGGCUACAAAUUUAAUAUUUUUUACCCUGAUCUCGUUGACAAAUCAAAAGCUCCUACUUACACUAUUGAAAAGGAUGGGAGUAAUGGUGAGACAUGCCUCAUAAGAUUUCAUGCAGGGCCUCCAUACGAGGAUAUUGCCUUCCGUAUUGUGAAUAAGGAAUGGGAAUAUUCUCACAAGAAGGGUUUCAAAUGUACGUUUGAGCGGGGCAUUCUACAUGUGUAUUUCAACUUCAAGCGCUAUCGCUACCGUAGGUAACACUUACCUGGAGGAAACAAAAGAUGCAGGAGAACAACCCGUAGACGAACUUUCGGGAGGCAGACUUUGUCGAUGUUUACAUGCAUGAGGAGGCAAGUUCAGAUUCAUGUUGCUGCUAUAAGACCGAUGCUGGAAUCGAUAAUACGAGUUUUCCAUGUCUGAUGUGUUACGAAUGGAAGUGAUAUCAUAAUGGCAAACAAGCAACCUUCUUUAUAAAUGUAAUUAUUGGCACCGUGGCUCGUUAUAUAAAAAAAUCCAUUCGCCCUAGCAUGUUGGUGGCGCGGGCUGGCGCCUUUUUAUUUCUAUGACGUUGGUAGGAAUGAUACUUGAGACAGCGGAAGGUAGUGAAACUUUCAUGGUCAGGUUCUCAUAACA